ACGGCUCAGUAACACGUGGCUAACUUACCCUUAGGACGGGUACAACCUCGGGAAACUGAGGCUAAUAUCCGAUAGGUGGGGAGACCUGGAAUGGUCCUUCACCCAAAAGGAACUAGUGGCAUGCUUGCUAAUUUCGCCUGAGGAUAGGGCCGCGCCCGAUCAGGUCGCUGGUGAGGUAACGGCUCACCAGGCCUAUAACCGGUACGGGCCGUGAGAGCGGGAGCCCGGAGAUGGGCACUGAGAUAAGGGCCCAGGCCCUACGGGGCGCAGCAGGCGCGAAAACUCCGCAAUGCGCGAAAGCGUGACGGGGUCACCCCGAGUGCCGUCCGCUGAGGAUGGCUUUUGCCCGGUUUAACUAGCCAGGUGAAUAAGGGGAGGGCAAGUCUGGUGUCAGCCGCCGCGGUAAUACCAGCUCCCCGAGUGGUUGGGACGAUUAUUGGGUCUGAAGUGUCCGUAGCCGGCCGGAAAAGUUCCCCGUUAAAUCUGGCGAUCCAAUCGUUGGGCUGCGGGGAAUACUCUUCGGCUUGGGGGCGAGGGAGGUCGGCGGUAGUCCCGGGGUAGGGGCGAAAUCCUAUAAUCCCGGGAGGACCACCAGUGGCGUAGGCGGUCGGCUAGCACGCGCUCGACGGUGANGGACGAAAGCUGGGGGAGCNAACCGGAUUANAUA
rnacentral:rRNA from 1 species